GGAAGGAGGGCGGCAGAGGAUUCUGCAGUCCUUGGCCCCCUUGGGUGCCAUCGGUAGUCCCCCCACCAUGGAACCUCCGUUGUGUACACCUCCCUGCCUCAUCCCCACAGCCCACUGGCAGUGGGCUCUCAACUUUUGCUCCAUGUUGGAAUCCUCUCCAGACCUUUUAAAGACACCUGUGUGGGGGGUCUUACCCCAAUCCAUUAUGAUUUAACUGGCUUGGGUUGUAGCCUGGAUAUGGGGGAUUUGAAGGGUUGCCAGUGCAGGAGACUUGGGUUCCAUCCCUGGGUUGGGAAGAUCCCCUGGAGGAGGACAUGGCAACCGACUCCAGUGUUCUUGCCUGGAAAAUCUCAUGGACAGAGGAGCCUGGCAGGCUAUGUUCCAUGGGAUCUCAGAGGUCUUGUCAAUGACUAGACAACAGCAACAUCCAUCAGCCUGUGACUGUCAAAGGCAGUGAGGGAGAGCAGCCCCCAGAGCAGAAUUCCGGGAUGGGAAACCAUGGCCACCUUCUUGAACGAGAAAACACAUUGAAACAAAUUUUCUGAGAUCAUCUGUUUGGAGGCAAUAGCCGUUAACUAAAGAUGUAGAAGGCCUGGGAUAUUCACUUAAGCAGGGGAAAAAAAAAGCUCAACCCUAGCAUUGUACCCUUUUAACAUCCCACUCCAGUAUUCUUUACUGGAGAGUCCCAUGGACAGAGAAGCCUGAUGGUCUACAACCCAUGGGAUCGCAAAGAGUCAGACACAACUGAGCGACUAAGCGCACCACACCCAUCACUUGCUUAUGCUCUCUUUCAGCUUCAGUGUCCUUGUGUGUCAAAUGGGGAUGGUAAUAAUGACCUGCUUAGAACUGUGGUGAGGACAAGACGAUCAAUCACGUGGAUCAAUGAGCAUGCUCUGGGCUGCAAGCACCAGCAGCUCCAACUCCAAGUAGCUUAAAGGACUGCUGGAGCUGCAGUGGGCUGCAGGGGUUAUCGAUUCAGGGCUCCAAUGUCAUCCAGGGCAGGCUUGGGACUGCGUAGGUUCCCCAGGAACAGCAGAACUCUGGGGAGAGGAGGUAGGAGAGGUGGGAGUGAUGGUUGAAAGGUUAGUCUGGAAUUGUCACCUGCUGAAGUCCAUGGAUUCAUUCAUUCAGUAAACACUCAUUGGGCACCCGCUAUGUAUCCAGUCAUGGAGCUGGGCCUUGGAGUACAAAUGUGAUUCACAAGGUCCCACCUGCAUUAGUUUCAAAUAAUGUGUCACCACAAAACAUAGGGGC
ensembl:lncRNA